rnacentral:rRNA from 1 species
UGCAGUCGAACGGUAACAGGUCUUCGGACGCUGACGAGUGGCGAACGGGUGAGUAAUACAUCGGAACGUGCCCAGUCGUGGGGGAUAACUACUCGAAAGAGUAGCUAAUACCGCAUACGAUCUGAGGAUGAAAGCGGGGGACCUUCGGGCCUCGCGCGAUUGGAGCGGCCGAUGGCAGAUUAGGUAGUUGGUGGGAUAAAAGCUUACCAAGCCGACGAUCUGUAGCUGGUCUGAGAGGACGACCAGCCACACUGGGACUGAGACACGGCCCAGACUCCUACGGGAGGCAGCAGUGGGGAAUUUUGGACAAUGGGCGAAAGCCUGAUCCAGCAAUGCCGCGUGCAGGAUGAAGGCCUUCGGGUUGUAAACUGCUUUUGUACGGAACGAAAAAGCUUCUCCUAAUACGAGAGGCCCAUGACGGUACCGUAAGAAUAAGCACCGGCUAACUACGUGCCAGCAGNCNNNNUAA